CCCGGCAGAGCCACCCAGCGCCCAGGGGGCUCCGCGUCUUUAUUCUUUCUUUUCUUUUUUUCUCUUUGCCUCCUCCAGGAUUUAAAGGGACAGCCCCGGCCGAAGCGACGGGCCAGGCGGCCGCCGUUUCUCCGGUCUCCAGACGCCCUCUGCGGCCCGGCCGGACCCGCUCACACCGGAGCGCUAGCCUGGAACUGCAGGGUGCUUUUAGGCGCACACCCGGCCCGGGGCAGCGCGGCUGCGGAGCUUGGCUCGGUCGCUCGGUGCACUAUUUUUUCACAGAGUCCGAUUAGGAUAGGAAAUUAAACGACUCGACAACUGCUUUCCAAACCAGAGGCGGUGAGCAGAGAAGGUUCAGAAGUUUCUCUAUUGCUCCCGGAAUUUCAACGAGCGCCCCCAGACGCCUCGCAGAAACCAGCUUAAAAAAAAAAAGUUUAUUUGUCUCCAACUCCUGAGCUGCGAGGGACGCCCAACAGUGGCGCGCGAGAGAAUCACCACUACCUUGCCUCAAAUCUGGCCACCCAUCAAAAGACAGCCCUACCACCGAAACUCUAUCUUGGUCUUCUAGUGCUGCAAACACUCGGUGAUGUUUUAGAGAAUUCCUGCAGUCCUGCUUGGUGCCUCCUUACGACUUUCAGCUCCAGAAUGUUCAGCUCAUCCUCACAUCCAAUGCAUCUUCGUAAAAAGAGAAA